UCCAAAGGUGGUUUUCUACAGAUUGGUGGGU
rnacentral:piRNA from 1 species